CUUCACCGACCCCAACAGCAACGGCCGGCCCUCCGGCCGACCCUGCCCAUAAGUCGCCAGCAGCGCCUGCGCCUC
rnacentral:antisense_RNA from 1 species